AAAGUCGUAACAAGGUUUCCGUAGGUGAACCUGCGGAAGGAUCAUUACUGAAUAAACUUGAUGGGUUGUAGCUGGCUCCUUUGGGGGCAUGUGCACACCUAUCAUUUUUAUCUUUCCACCUGUGCACACUUUGUAGUUCUGGAAAUAAGUAUUGUCAUAGCGAAAGAUUUUUUUCUUUUGUUGUGUGUUGAGGGACUGCUGUGCUGUCUAUCAGUCGGCUUUCCGUCACAUUUUCCAGCUCUAUGUUUUUCAAAUUACACCAUGUAUGUUAAAGAAUGAACAUUUUGAGGCUUUCAAAUGCCUUAUAUAAACAAUAUAUACAACUUUCAGCAACGGAUCUCUUGGCUCUC
rnacentral:misc_RNA from 1 species